AUGAGCCAGGACAAGGCCGCCGGCGAGAAGGCGGCGGCGGAGCCCAAGAGGCAGACGCCGCGGCUCAACGAGCGGAUCCUCUCCUCCCUCUCCCGGAGGUCCGUCGCCGCCCACCCGUGGCACGACCUCGAGAUCGGCCCCGGCGCUCCGGCGGUGUUCAACGUGGUGGUGGAGAUCACCAAGGGGAGCAAGGUCAAGUACGAGCUCGACAAGAAGACCGGGAUGAUCAAGGUUGACCGGAUCCUGUACUCGUCCGUGGUGUACCCUCACAACUACGGCUUCGUCCCACGCACCCUCUGCGAGGACAACGACCCCAUCGAUGUCCUCGUCCUCAUGCAGGAACCCGUCCUCCCCGGCACCUUCCUCCGGGCCAGGGCCAUCGGCCUCAUGCCUAUGAUCGAUCAGGGUGAGAAGGAUGACAAGAUCAUAGCCGUCUGCGCCGACGACCCCGAGUACCACAACCUCAACCAUCUCAGCGAGCUCUCUCCUCAUCGCCUCCAGGAGAUCCGCCGCUUCUUCGAAGAUUACAAGAAGAAUGAGAACAAGGAGGUGGCUGUCAACGACUUCCUCCCCGCCGAUGAUGCUCGUGCUGCCAUCCAGCACUCCAUGGAUCUGUACGCGGAAUACAUUAUGCACAGCCUAAGGCAGUAG
rnacentral:rRNA from 1 species